GCACUUCAUUACUUCUUCUCAGACAUUCACAAUUCAAAAGAAAAAAACUAUGGUUUGUGUUUCUUCUAAGCCGUCGCCCCUCUCCCACCUGCAUCGCCGGCGACGUUACCCCAUUUCGUGUCUUCGGUCAACGAUAGCCUAUCGCCUAUGUGAAAAAACUAUACUUGUCUAUUCCUGGGUUUUUGAGUUCACGUCUUCAUAAGGUAGUAGUGGCUAUGGAAGCAUUUUUCUAGAAGGUUGGUUCUAGCAAAAUACUAAUAUGAAUUGUAGACAAGAGAUUGAUAAUGGAUCUUUACAAGUGCUUAUGGCUGGAUUCGUUUUGAGUUUUUGUGGUUGUUUACAAGAGAUGGAUUAUGGAUGUUCAUGAACUACUUUUAGAUUUAUGUCCAGAUUUGAAUUGUUUUAAAUGAUUGUGGUUGUUUGAAACUUUGGAUUAAUUAAGUUUGAAUGUUUAUUGUUUUUUAUGUUAAA